GCUGGGGAGGGGUGGUAGCAUUGUUUGUUAUUAUGAGAUGGGUUCAUCAUAUUUAUUCACAUAUUUGAUUAAUAGACAUGCUGUUAACAAAGAACAGUACUGCUAUUUCCAUCUGUAUGUUUUCCCAGUACUAGCCUAUCUCUCAUCGUAAUUUACAACAGCACAUAGCUAUAAGGACUGUGUUAUAAACUUUGGGAAACAUGUUUUAUUUAAAAAAGGUGUUAUAAUUUUUGGUUUUACAUAUUCAUCAAUUGUAAAAAUGCAUUGGUACUUAAAUUGAUUUAGUUUUUAAAAUUCCCUCAUAUUAUUCAAAAUGGCGGCUCUUGAGACCGGAAAUGCCCAGUUUUGAUGAUCGGUUAAUAAACUAACAGGUUGUAAGGAAAGAAAAUAUUACUAAAAUUUGUUUCAAUUAAAUGCAGAAUUCUUUAGAUAAUAUUAAGUAAAUAAUAUUGUUUUUUAACCAAAAUAAAUUUUAAAGAUUUAUCCCGGUAUUAAUCUUGGCUGUAUCGUGAUUGGCCAAAAUUUCAAACUUUGACUUCCGUGAAUUCUGAUUGGACAAUUGCCAUUCCGCCAUCAAAUUUUGAAAUGGGCAAAGAAGACAGGAGUUGUUGUGAAGAUUUUCCUGAUUUUUUCAAGAAAUAUGCAGAAUCACAGCGUGUUGUAUGUAGUAAUGAAGCUGCAAGCAGUAGUUUCAUAAAGAUAGACAUGCUUAAGACCUGGAUGAUAUGGCUUUAGUUGUGGAUGACCAUUUCCAUUCAGGAAAAAAUCCCAACAAAGUCCAGCUAGCAGACUGUACACCAGAUUGAAGAUACAUCAUUAAUACAAGAUGAAAAAAGUAAGUGUGUGUGUUUAUCAAGUAAAGAUAUACAGAUUUUAAAUUUUUAACCAUAUAUUAUGUAUAUCUUUAAGUAAAUGAAUUAUUAAAAAUCUGAGAAUAUAAUGGCAACUGCUGUAUCAAUGUUGACUUUUUUUUUUUAGAGGGGAGGGGGGUACCAGGUCAACAGAGAAUUGAAAAGUUUUACUGAUAUUUAAUAAUAAUUUAUGCUACAUAUAUUGAAAAUUGUCAAACAGUAUCAUGUUUUAAAUAUUAUUGCCUUCUUUUAGAUUAAUGGAGGACGAGGAUGAUACUAUGAAAGAGAUCAGAUGCAAGAGCAACCGUCCCCAUAGAAAUACAUGCAACCAUGUAAACAGAAACCAGUUUUCACCUGCCAGGUGCUGGUCACAUAUAUAUUCAACUUGGAACAGAUUCAAGAAACAGAUCCAGUUGUUUGCUGAUAAAUUACUGCAGGUCAUUGGUAUCAUCUAGAACCAGGACUGUUUUAAAAAUCAUACUAGUAUGUUUGGAACAAAAUCAUGCUAGUAUAUGUUAGGAAUUUAACCUAAAACAUGCUUUAUGAAGGUUUUGGUCAAAUUUUGGUUUACAAAAUAAUGUUUUUCAAACUUUCUAUUCAAAUUUAGCAAGAACAUUAGACACACAUGUAAUCCCAAAUGCUUUUAUGUUAGAUUAUUGCUUUAUUUAAAAAACUUGCAUAUAGGGUCUGUAAUGAUUUGAGAUUAUUAUGUAAACAAUAAAAUGCUUUCUUUGGUGACAUAUGCAGGAUAUGAAUGUAGCGACAUUGCAGAAAAAAUACAUUACCCGCAUUAGCGAGUUAUGUAAAUUUUUUCUGCAAUCAUUGCUCCCUUCAUUACCUGCAUGAAUCGUCAAAGAAAGCAUUAUAUUGUUUAUAUUUACAUCUUUCUUUUAACAAAUUAAUAAAUUGUU